CCUGGGUGCAGUGGUGCAUGCCUGUAAUCCCAGCGACUUGGGAGGCUGAGGCAGGAGGAUCAUGAGUUCAAAGUCAGCCUCAGCAAAAGUGAGGCACUAAGCAACUAGUGAGACCCUGUCUCUA
rnacentral:sRNA from 1 species